UGAACGCUAGCGGCAGGCUUAACACAUGCAAGUCGAGGGGUAUUUAUCUUCGGAUAGAGAGACCGGCGCACGGGUGCGUAACGCGUAUGCAAUCUACCUUUUACAGAGGGAUAGCCCAGAGAAAUUUGGAUUAAUACCUCAUAGCAUUGUGAAAUGGCAUCAUUUUAUAAUUAAAGUCACAACGGUAAAAGAUGAGCAUGCGUCCCAUUAGCUAGUUGGUAAGGUAACGGCUUACCAAGGCUACGAUGGGUAGGGGUCCUGAGAGGGAGAUCCCCCACACUGGUACUGAGACACGGACCAGACUCCUACGGGAGGCAGCAGUGAGGAAUAUUGGACAAUGGGCGCAAGCCUGAUCCAGCCAUGCCGCGUGCAGGAUGACGGUCCUAUGGAUUGUAAACUGCUUUUAUACGAGAAGAAACACUCCUUCGUGAAGGAGCUUGACGGUAUCGUAAGAAUAAGGAUCGGCUAACUCCGUGCCAGCAGCCGCGGUAAUACGGAGGAUCCAAGCGUUAUCCGGAAUCAUUGGGUUUAAAGGGUCCCUAGGCGGUUUAAUAAGUCAGUGGUGAAAGCCCAUCGCUCAACGGUGGAACGGCCACUGAUACUGGUAGACUUGAAUUAUUA
rnacentral:rRNA from 1 species